UCCCUGGAAGACCAGUGGUUAGGCCACAGUGCUCUUACUGCUACGGCCCGGGCUCGAUUCCUGGCCAGGGAG
rnacentral:tRNA from 1 species